ensembl:lncRNA
GCCAUACAAAACAUUUGUGCAAACAUCUUCAGAAAAUACAAAGACAAGGCCUCUUGGUAAAUCGAAUAUUAUGCAUGUAAACCUUUCUGAUGAAUACACUGUAAUCUAAAAAUGCUGUUUGAAAAAGACUGUCCAAGAAAAAGAAACUGAUCUAACAUAAAACUUUCUAACAAAAUAAAAACAGCACAAGAAUGAUAUUUUGCCCAAGACAAAAUAGCCAGUCCCAAGGUUCACAGUCUUGUGUUUAAGUGGUUUUGAACUGAUAUAUACACACACUUAAAUUCAUAUAACAUCAGAGGAUACCUGUAUAAAACUCCAGAUACCUAGGUAGGUAGACUGCUUUAGAGAAAGAAAGAUAUGUGGAAUAUAAAAAAGAACUUAACCUAAAGGGACAGUACCUCUGGACACUAACUGACACAUCCUAGAAAUGUCCAGGAUAGUAGAACCCAAAUUAACACAGUCAUCAUACUUCACUGACUUUCUACCCUGAUCAAAAAUAACGAUGUGCUUAACAUGACAGAGAUGUGUAUUAUACCAGAGUAAGUAUGGAAGAGAUGUGUAUUAUACCAGAGUAAGUAUGGAAGAGAUGUGUAUUAUACUAAAGUAAGUAUGGAAGAUAUGUGUAUUAUACUAAAGUAAGUAUGGAAGAGAUGUGUAUUAUACUAAAGUAAGUAUGGAAGAGAUGUGUAUUAUACUAAAGUAAGCAUGGAAGAGAUGUGUAUUAUACCAAAGUAAGUAUGGAAGAGAUGUGUAUUAUACUAAAGUAAGCAUGGAAGAGAUGUGUAUUAUACCAAAGUAAGUAUGGAAGAGAUGUGUAUUAUACUAAAGUAAGCAUGGAAGAGAUGUGUAUUAUACUAAAGUAAGCAUGGAAUAUAUGUGUAUUAUACUAAAGUAAGUAUGGAAGAGAUGUGUAUUAUACUAAAGUAAGCAUGGAAGAGAUGUGUAUUAUACCAGAGUAAGCAUGGAAGAGAUGUGUAUUAUACCAAAGUAAGUAUGGAAGAGAUGUGUAUUAUACUAAAGUAAGUAUGGAAGAGAUGUGUAUUAUACUAAAGUAAGUAUGGAAGAGAUGUGUAUUAUACUAAAGUAAGUAUGGAAGAGAUGUGUAUUAUACUAAAGUAAGUAUGGAAGAGAUGUGUAUUAUACUAAAGUAAGUAUGGAAGAGAUGUGUAUUAUACUAAAGUAAGUAUGGAAGAGAUGUGUAUUAUACCAGAGUAAGCAUGGAAGAGAUGUGUAUUAUACUAAAGUAAGUAUGGAAGAGAUGUGUAUUAUACUAAAUUAAGUAUGGAAGAGAUGUGUAUUAUACUAAAGUAAGUAUGGAAGAGAUGUGUAUUAUACCAGAGUAAGUAUGGAAGGCAAGUGCUUGUUCUCUUUCUGUACAGGCAAACAAUGAGUAUUUGUACUAAGUAGUUGCAUAGCAACAAACACUUUAAAGUGAGGUGAAAUAUACUGUAUUGUAGCUGAUUUUGUGAGCUGUCUGGUAAAAUGUGGUUGGAUUUCAGAUUCAUACCUAUAUUUGAUCAUUCCUUCACCCUACUGUCAGACAUUAUUGUUAUAUUGAUUGCUUUGAGAAAGAAGUUAUGAUGAACAUACAUGUAUCAGUACUAUUUCUUCAUAUCAUAAAAACAACAAUAAAUGGAUAGAUCAAAGACUGCAGAGCCAAUGUAAGAGCCAUAUUGCAUAACUGAUCUAUUGUAAGAGGGUGACAGAGGGUAAAAGAGACAUGCUCACAGAUUGGAGAGAGAAGUAUGGCUGGUUAAACAAUCGUCUGAUUCAGUCCUCGUACCUCUACAUCAGUGAAAUAUGAAGAGAACCCUGUAUUGAGAAGAGAGGCUAGUGGACACACAUAACUGUGGAGACCGUGGAGGCACAUAACUGUGGAGGCACAUAACUGUGGAGACCGUGGAGGCACAUAACUGUGGAGGCACAUAACUGUGGAGACUGUGGAGGCACAUAACUGUGGAGGCACAUAACUAUGGAGAGUGAUGCAGAGGGUAUAAGUGCUAUGUUAUUGCAUAGCGCUGUGCAGAACAUGGCCCCUCCAGUCCAACAACACCACACCCUACUGCAGAACAGCCCUAAAGUGCUCCAGAAAAUCAAGAAGUGUCUGAUUCAGAGUUUACUAAGAGUCUGUCCAGGCAGGUAGAGUAGAUUCAUUAAGAGUCUAUCCAGGCAGGUAGAGUAGAUUCAUUAAGAGUCUAUCCAGGCAGGUAGAGUAGAUUCAUUAAGAGUCUAUCCAGGCAGGUAGAGUAGAUUCAUUAAGAGUCUAUCCAGGCAGGUAGAGUAGAUUCAUUAAGAGU